rnacentral:rRNA from 1 species
GACGAACGCUGGCGGCGUGCCUAACACAUGCAAGUCGAACGGGGUCAGCCCUUCGGGACUGACUUAGUGGCGAACGGGUGAGUAACGCGUGAGGAACCUGCCUCUCAGUGGGGGACAACAGUUGGAAACGACUGCUAAUACCGAAUGACGUUUCCUGGUCGCAUGACCUGGAAACCAAAGGCCGGGCAACCGGUCACUGAAGGAUGGGCCUGCGUCUGAUUAGCUAGUUGGUGGGGUAAAGGCCUACCAAGGCGAUGAUCUCUAGCUGGUCUGAGAGGAUGACCAGCCACACUGGAACUGAGACACGGUCCAGACUCCUACGGGGGGCAGCAGUAGGGAAUAUUGCACAAUGGGGGGGAACCCUGAUGCAGCCAUGCCGCGUGUGUGAAGAAGGCCUUCGGGUUGU